CUUCAGAACGAGAUGUAGAAGUCUCAGCAAUUCCAGCUCCAUGCUUGCCUGGACGCUGCCAGGCUUCCUGCUAUGAUGACAAUGGGCUGAACCUCUGAAACUGGGUUAAACCUGUGGCCUCAACUACUUUAGGCAAGCUCUGGAUCACUGAACUUCAUCCUUGGUCUUCUUUUCUGUGUUUCUGUUUAUUUAUUUAGAGUCAGAGUCUCAUGUAGCCCAGGUUGGCCUCACUCUCCCUAUGUAGCUGAGGAUGACUUUGAACUCUGGCUCCUCCUGUUCUCUAGCUCCUAAGUGCUGGGAUUAUAGGCGCAACAAUACAUCUUUUCCUUGCCUGAGGAAGGAAGCCAGGCUCCAUGCUAGACAAGGACUCUACCAGACCCCGGAGAACCACAACAGGGCUCUGUGGGAUUCACCACAGAAGACUGCCAAGCCAGAGGUCCUGGCACUCAGAAACGGGUUGGAGGUGCCCCGAACUAAAAGCAGCUGCUGCUGGAGUUCUGUUUUCCCAGGACCCAGCUGCUGAGAAGGGGAAGCAGUGGCCAGAAACGCUGAUGGGAACAGAGGCCUGCAGGUACACAUUCCAGAUUCAUAUGGAGAUCCUAGACCCUGCUUCUGAAUGCUAUAUGGAAAUAGAGACCCUGGAGGCGCCUUGGAAAGGACAGUGAGGAGACACAGGGUGACUGACCACUGCUAAACAUCUGGCUACUGCCUUUGGAGUCACAGGAUGUACUUGUUUUCCUGGAUAUAUCUGUGGAGGUUGGUUGAGUUCUCCAG